UUGUAUAAAUUGAACAUCCGAGCGAUGCU
rnacentral:sRNA from 1 species